rnacentral:ncRNA from 1 species
CGAGAAGCUAUAAUAGAGACAAGUACAAGUUCCACCCAAAUUCUAUUUUUCAAGCGAGCUGUGGUCGGUGUAAGCACAGCAAUAGAAUGGAACAUUAGAAAUCACUCUGGAGCUCUUUUUCCGAACAGCCAGAACAUGGCCAACUAAGAAACAGCGUACGUCGGCGUUAACGAUGGAACGAAGUGGGCAAAGAUACAAAAUCAAUGUCAACAAGGGUGGUACCGCGAUAAAUAAACUCGUCCCUUUU